UAAAUUGGGCUUUCUAGGUUCGGUAAGGAGCCCUAACGUGGCACCUUCUCGUUGGACCGCGCUGUCUCUCUCCUUCCUCGCGAGAAAACCGAAGAGAAGAGUUUGUUUCUCGACUUCUCCGUCUUCUCUCUAGGCGAGCUCCGCGACGUCUCCGCCGGCGUCUCUGAAUCGACUAGUGUCGUGUCUCUCUCGGCGUCCCUAUCUCGAAC
rnacentral:lncRNA from 1 species